GAGUGAUUCUAGAACCGAGUGGAGCGUUGGCAAUGUUCCGCGUUGUGCGAUUACAUGGCUCUCCGGCGAGUGAGAACCCGCGCAUGGCGAUCACCUGUCCGCUUGGUGAGAGAUCUUCUGCCUGCACUGCGAGAAAUAGGAAUGAUGUGAUCCCAUAAUAUUGCGCCGGCUAUCUGUUUGAAUCGAUUCCGUCUCCAGCACAGACACAUCUUAUUUUUCAGUGCACCUUCUCAGACCUGCAAUCUAAUCUGAAAAGAGGUGUAAAGAUGAUGUUUUCGAAAAGUGCCAGACUAGCGAAGGAGAUGGAAAGUUUUACACUCAAUUUUCGGUCUGAUUAGACAGCAAAACAUUACCGAAAAUAUAAUGUUUUCUAUGAAUCAAUUGUGGACCCAAUCUAAUCUGCGGAGUGGGAGUAGGGCUCACCACCAAUCACGUGCGUGCCCAGAACAUUGGCAGUGGUCAUGAUCUUCACGCAACUGGGUAUU